UACGGAGGGUGCAGGCGUUAUCCGGAUUUACUGGGUUUAAAGGGUGCGUAGGCGGAUAGGUAAGUCAGGGGUGAAAUCUUCGAGCUUAACUCGGAAAUUGCCUUUGAUACUAUCUAUCUUGAAUAUUGUGGAGGUAAGCGGAAUAUGUCAUGUAGCGGUGAAAUGCUUAGAGAUGACAUAGAACACCUAUUGCGAAGGCAGCUUACUACGCAUAUAUUGACGCUGAGGCACGAAAGCGUGGGGAUCAAACAGG
rnacentral:rRNA from 1 species